rnacentral:rRNA from 1 species
UACAGAGGGGGCAAGCGUUGUUCGGAAUUACUGGGCGUAAAGGGCGCGUAGGCGGCCUGUUAAGUCGAACGUGAAAUCCCCGGGCUCAACCCGGGAACUGCGUCCGAUACUGGCAGGCUUGAAUCCGGGAGAGGGAUGCGGAAUUCCAGGUGUAGCGGUGAAAUGCGUAGAUAUCAGGAGGAACACCAACGGCGAAGGCAGCUCGCUGGGACGGUACUGACACUGAGGCGCGAAAGCGUGGGGAGCGAACAGG